UUUCACUUCUAUUCUUGUAUUACUAUUUUCAUUGGCAGAUGAAAUAAACUUAUUCAUAGUAUACGAUAAUAUUGAUACUUUGUUAGUGUUUGAGGAAAUCAAAUGUUUGUGGCGAUUGUGAGUAUGAAUGAUACCUUUUUGAUAAGUAAUAAAGUCUUACUAAUAUCAAAAACUCAAAUCACCCAAGUAUACAGGGAGUAUACAAGGGGAGAUCAUUCACUCAAUCAUGCAGAUUACAUAGAUUUAUCAAAUCACUAACCGAAUAUGGAGGAUGACAACGUAAAACAGACAUCCAAUCCAAUAAAGUUCUAAAGAAAAAUAUUAUUUUAGCAAGGCUGGACAUGCUUCUUGUCAGUUCUUGUCUUUUAUCUGAUGACAAAAGUUUCUUCAUGUUCUUGGAUUGUGUUCCGCUCUGAUCCCGGGAAAUUUAUGAAGUUAAAACAUGAUUGCAAAGAAUUUUUCGAAAAGUGUGAUGGGCUUCUUAAAUGUAUUACACCUUUGGAGGUUAUGGUGAGUAAUAUUGAAGCCAUGGGCUUACCACAGAUUGUUGAUCAAGUGUGCAACUGGCAGGACACAGCAACCUGAUUUGUUGGCCGAUUAUCAGAGGAAUAUGCUGAAUAUGUUGAUGUAGUUCAACCAGUUCAAGUUGCAGUUUAUGAAAUGAAAUUGGGCUCAUCACUGGUUUUGGCAAGUGUCUUCCAGAAAGAUUUGCUCAGUAUGGUUGAGCUGGACGAUAUGGAUCUCAUUAUGGGAACUAUCUAUUCAUUCAUGAGAUUUCCCUGUGGAUUUCCAUCCAAGUUGAUUUCUGUUAACUUGGGCAGCACACAGCCUCAGCUUCUUUCAUAUGACAUAGAUAUUCCCACAAUCUUUUCUGCUGCUGAUAUGACCUUGCUAGAAAAGUUGGUUACAUUCUCAAAUGGUGUUGCUGUUGAUAAGGUCUCCGUUAUGCAACUUAAAGUGUCUCUUCAUCAAAAUGUUCUUGUCCCUGUUGCACAUCAUGUAGCUAAUGCUCAAUUGAUGGAUAAAGAUUCCUUUAAGCUUUUGCAUAAAAUAUUUAAAGAAUUUUCCAAUCUUUGGGUGAGCAUGAAAAUUCAAGCAAAAACCAAAAAGGACUAUGAUUCUCAGCAGUACAAGUUCAAUCCUCGUGUGUUUCAGAUUGAGAGGAUUAUUGAAGUUGAUAUAUCAACACUUGGCAAGUCAAUGGGAAAUGAUAGUUUUUCAGAAUGGAAGGCAUUGCUUUCUGAAGAAAAGUUGACUACAAUGGAGACUUCUAAGGAACAAGAAGCUUCGGAGGAAGAAUGGGAUGUAAUAGAGGAGUCCAUCCUGAACAACAUGGUCGACAUUCACAAUCAUUUAUUUGGUUCAAAUAAUCUUGUUGCUCCUGGAACUUUCCAAAUAUCUGAUGCAGAGAGAUUGCUUUCCUUUACUGACUCCUAUAGAUUGGGAGUAGGGAUGAUUAAAGGAUUCAAAUGCUCCUCUAAUGGCUAAAAUGGUGAAACUGCUUACUCCUCUUCAACAGCAGCUUCUUUCCCUCUUGAAUGAAUGGGAGGAUCAUCAUGGCCUCCAAAGUAUCAUGGGUGUAAUUAAGAUGCUCUUGAAUAUUCCUUUCAGCACCCCAUUGGCUAAGGCCCUUUCUGGAUUACAAUUUCUACUUCACAGGGUCUAGGUAUUACAUGAAAAUGGCUCAAAAUUCUCCCUAGCUGAUCAAUUAGAGCCUAUUCUUGAUCUGAUGUCAUCAUGGAAAAAGUUGGAAUUUGGAUCUUGGCCUGCCCUGCUUGAUGAAGUGCAGGAUCAGUACGAGAUUAAUGCUGCGAAGUUAUGGUGUCCUCUAUAUACAAUUCUUCAACCCAGAGAUUCUGUUGAUACAGUUGGAUAUGACCUAUCUACCAUUCAAAG